CGGUGAAUACGUUCCCGGGUCUUGUACACACCGCCCGUCACACCAUGGGAGUCAGCAACGCCCGAAGUCAGUGACCCAACUCGCAAGAGAGGGAGCUGCCGAAGGCGGGCAGGUAACUGGGGUGAAGUCGUAACAAGGUAGCCGUAUCGGAAGGUGCGGCUGGAUCACCUCCUUUCUAAGGAA
rnacentral:rRNA from 1 species